AGAGUUUGAUCCUGGCUCAGGAUGAACGCUGGCGGCGUGCUUAACACAUGCAAGUCGAACGAACCUUCGGGUUAGUGGCGGACGGGUGAGUAACGCGUGAGAAUCUGCCCUCAGGAGGGGGAUAACGGCUGGAAACGGCCGCUAAUACCCCAUAUGCCGAGAGGUGAAAUGAAAUUCGCCUGAGGAUGAGCUCGCGUCUGAUUAGCUAGUUGGUGUGGUAAUGGCGCACCAAGGCGACGAUCUGUAGCUGGUCUGAGAGGAUGAGCAGCCACACUGGGACUGAGACACGGCCCAGACUCCUACGGGAGGCAGCAGUGGGGAAUUUUCCGCAAUGGGCGAAAGCCUGACGGAGCAAGACCGCGUGAGGGAGGAAGGCUCUUGGGUUGUAAACCUCUUU
rnacentral:rRNA from 1 species